UAAUGCUUUGUCUUAAAACCCAGAAGUGAU
rnacentral:piRNA from 1 species